rnacentral:rRNA from 1 species
GACGAACGCUGGCGGCGUGCUUAACACAUGCAAGUCGAACGGAAAGGCCCUGCUUUUGUGGGGUGCUCGAGUGGCGAACGGGUGAGUAACACGUGAGUAACCUGCCCUUGACUUUGGGAUAACUUCAGGAAACUGGGGCUAAUACCGGAUAGGAGCUCCUGCUGCAUGGUGGGGGUUGGAAAGUUUCGGCGGUUGGGGAUGGACUCGCGGCUUAUCAGCUUGUUGGUGGGGUAGUGGCUUACCAAGGCUUUGACGGGUAGCCGGCCUGAGAGGGUGACCGGCCCAGUGGGAGUGGGAGAAGGGCCCAGGCCCUGAGGGGGGGCAGAGGGGGGAAAUUUAGCCAAAGGGGGGGAAGCCGGAGGAAGAACCGCCGGGUGGGGGAAGGCGGCCUUCGGGUGGGAAACCGUUUUCGCCGGUGACGAAGGGGGAGGGGCGGUAAUGGUGAAAGAAGCACCGGUAAAUUACGG